UUGUAGUCUUUUUGGGGGCUGAGGAAAGCGCGACUGACUUGCUCGGUCGUGUUGAAUCUCCCUUGGGGGACUAUGUCUUUUAUUCAUACACCAUGUAGUAUGUUGCAGAAUGUAUUCAAUGGGCCUCUGUGCCUAUAAAACCUUAUACAACUUUCAGCAACGGAUCUCUUGGCUCUCGCAUCGAUGAAGAACGCAGCGAAAUGCGAUAAGUAAUGUGAAUUGCAGAAUUCAGUGAAUCAUCGAAUCUUUGAACGCACCUUGCGCUCCUUGGUAUUCCGAGGAGCAUGCCUGUUUGAGUGUCAUUAAAUUCUCAACUCCUCCAGCUUUUGUGGUUGGUCUAGGGGCUUGGAUGUGGAGGUUUUGCGGGCCUUUCGAGGUCGGCUCCUCUGAAAUACAUUAGCGGAACCGUUUGCGAUCCGUCACAGGUGUGAUAAUUAUCUACGCCAGUGGGUUGCUCUCUGUCUGUUCAGCUUCUAACUGUCCCGUCUCUGUGGACAAACUCUCCUGAACGUUGACCUCAAA
rnacentral:rRNA from 1 species